rnacentral:tRNA from 2 species
GGGAGGUUAGUAAAGCAAUUACAAAGUCUUGUCAAGACUAAAUCGCAGGUGGAAACCCUGCACCCCCCC